UCUACAUACAGUAACCACUGUGCAAAGCACCAGUUAUAUAAAUGACUCAAAAUUUAAAAAAUAAAUCCAGCUUCAGGUUGGUUAAUACCAGAGGACGUCCUUUCAAGCCUGCAGGUCACCGUUGGCCAAGGCGUAGCACCUGCUUAGCCCCCUGAUCAGGGUCAGGUGAAGCCAUGGGAAGAGGUGAUGGAUGGUCGUACGAGCAGCCGGUGCAGAUCACAAGUCCUGGUUAUGUGACCAUUGACGCCAGGCAGACAAUCUCUGAAAGAGUCUUGUAAAGUCACUGCCCAGGUGGAGGAAAUGUGCUGCCAGGAUAAUCAAGGAUACGACCCACCCAGUCAACACACAUUUCGUCCCUCUUCCCUCCGGGAGAAGGCUCAGGAGCUGGAAGACUCGUACGGCCAGAUUUGGGAACAGCUUCUUUCCAACUGUGAUAAGACUGCUGAACGGAUCCUGACCCGGAUCUGUGCUGUACCCACCAUAUAUCCGGACCUGCCUCUCGGGGU